rnacentral:tRNA from 1 species
UAGCUCAGUUGGUAGAGCAGUUGACUUUUAAUCAAUUGGUCGCAGGUUCGAAUCGU